rnacentral:misc_RNA from 1 species
GAUGAAGAACGUAGCGAAAUGCGAUACGUAAUGUGAAUUGCAGAAUUCAGUGAAUCAUCGAGUCUUUGAACGCACAUUGCGCCCCCUGGUAUUCCGGGGGGCAUGCCUGUCCGAGUGUCAUUGCUGCCCUCAAGCACGGCUUGUGUGUUGGGCCUCCGUCCUCCUCCCGGGGGACGGGCCCGAAAGGCAGCGGCGGCACCGCGUCCGGUCCUCGAGCGUAUGGGGCUUCGUCACCCGCUCUUGUAGGCCCGGCCGGCGCUUGCCGACACAUCAAUCUUUUUUCCAGGUUGACCUCGGAUCAGGUAGGGAUACCCGCUGAACUUAAGCAUAUCAAUAAGCGGAGGA